rnacentral:misc_RNA from 1 species
GAUGAAGAACGUAGCGAAAUGCGAUACUUGGUGUGAAUUGCAGAAUCCCGUGAACCAUCGAGUCUUUGAACGCAAGUUGCGCCCGAAGCCAUCAGGUUGAGGGCACGUCUGCCUGGGCGUCACAUAUCGUUGCCCAAUGCCUAUUGCAGUGCAAUAGGAAUUUCUAGGGCGAAUGAUGGCUUCCCGUGAGCGUUGUUGCCUCGCGGUUGGUUGAAAAUCGAGUCCUUGGUAGGGUGUGCCAUGGUAGAUGGUGGUCGAGUUAGAACGAUACCGAUCAUGUGCAUGCUCCCCAAAAUAUGGCCUCUAUGACCCACACGCGUCGUUUGACGCUCAUGACGAGACCUCAGGUCAGGCGGGGCUACCCGCUGAAUUUAAGCAUAUCAAUAAGCGGAGGA